AGUAAAUGUCAUUAACGUUGAAACUUUUUACGCAAUUCCUCUCCGCCGCACAGAUCCUACUCUGCUCCGCCACCAGCCUUUCGCGCCGGCCACCACCCGCCCCGCCUCCGCCCCAGCCUUCCGCGCCGGCAGCUCCCCGCCCGGCCCCGCGUGCUGCAAGCCGCCUCCGCGGGCACCGCCGCCUCCCGUUCGCCUCCACAGGCGCCAUACGCUACCGGCGACCUCCGCGCCCGCCGCCUCAGGCCGGCCACCUCCCGCCUGCCUCCGCCCGCGUGGUGGGCUCCCGGCCACCUCCGCGCCCGCCGCCUCCGGCUGGCCAUCCCUGCCCGCCUCCGCGCGCGUGGCGGGCUCCCAGACCCCUCCGCGCCCGCUGCCUCCGGCCGGCCACCUCCCGCGCGCCUCCGCGCGCGUGGUGGGCUCCCGGCCACCUCCGCGCCGACCGGCCGGUCACCUCCCGCCCGCGUCCGCUCGUGCCGCGGGCCGCCUCCGUGCGCGCCGCGAACUCCCGCCCGCCUCUCUGCUCCCUCUGCGCGCCUCCCUGCUCCCUCUUCGGGCGGGCACCAAUCUCGCCACUGCCGCCCACCGUCCGCUUGCCGCAGCACGCCGAAAUUCGGCAGCAACACGGAGCGCCCAUCAGCGACGGCAGCAAGUUAGUUCAUCUACUCCCAAAAUGGGUUCAAUUGGUAGUUCAUCUGCGCAGGCAACUGAAUUGUUAGUUCAUCUGCCGCUGCAUCUCCACAUGCAUGAGUUCUGGGUGUCACUGUGUGUUCGAAUAGCAGGGGCAUGGCAAUGUGUAUGCGGUUAGAACAUAUGACUUACCUUCUUCCGGAAGCUCCCAGUGCCUCGUUCUCGGGUAGCAGCAACAACACCAGUGAUACCGUGUCUUCAUUCUUCAGGGAUUCGUGUAGCACAAGCAUCGUAUUCGAUGUCGCGCUGCUAUAUAAUCUUUCUCUGGAAAACACUACCUCAUAUUGCAUGACACUAGGUUCAGUGUUGUCUUCAAUCACGAGUCGGUCAGCACAUUCAAGGGGAAGAUAGUUAGCCAUCUGAAUGUGACUAGCCAAUCACAAGAAAUCCACCAGGCAUUUCACGCGAAAUGUGUUAAGAUACGUAUCGAGUCAGUUCUCAGAUUAGAUUGCAAGAAUUUUCAAAAGAAGCAAUGGAUGCCCAUCUAUAGAUGAUAUCGCCGGGUGCUGUUGUUUACAAUCAGAGUUCUUGAUGCAAUACUUACGAAUCCAAGCAGAAUCAUUUUCAGAGGCAGUCGAGGAACCCAUUCAUCUCCUCCUCGGUCUUGCCUCCAAAGUUGCUAAGGUGAACAGAUCACUUGAGAAGCUCUUUUGCAUAUUGAACAUGCGCAGAGCACUGUUUGACACCACCCCAAUCCUCACAACAGUGUUUGAUGCAGAGUUUGUGAAGAUAGAGGUCGGGGGAGUAGUUGCAGCAUUGACUGCAAAGGGAAUGCUUCUUGAGCUGAAAAUCUUGGUUCAGACUUGCAGAACACAGCACGAACUAACACAAGGCAACGUUCUAAGGAUAACUGAAUUCCUCAUGAAAUACAUCAAGUUGCUGGUAAAUCACACUGGAAACCUCGAUCCCAUUCUAUGCCAAGGCCAGGCUGAUGAUCUGUUGAACAUUGAGGGUGUGAAUCUGACAGGUCAUCUAGUAUCUGGGAUCUUCACCGAUCUGGAAUUAGUGGUUUAGGUAUCUAGCUCAUAUGCAUCUGAAAGAUUGAAUUUUCUAUUUCUGGUGAACAACAAAGUGGAAGAAUCGGAUGGGCGCCUGAUGGUAGGAGCCCAGUGGAUCAAAAAGCAUCACAACAGUGGAUCAAAAAGCAUCACAACAACAUCAAAUAGUACAUGAGUGAUUACCUAUCCUCAUUAUGGAAAGUGGUAGUCUGUCUAUCGGUGAUCCCUUGCCCGUUGAAGUGUGUCUAUCGGCCGGCAGAAACGGUCUCCCUAAGCGGCGGCGUAUGCAGAGUGUUGGUAUUUUUAACAUCACAAAUAAAUCCGCAAGCAUACAGAUACCGUUGUAGCUUUCACCUAGGAGUAUUUCAGGGUAUCUUAUCCACUGAGGAAUGUGAGUUUACUCUCUAAGGUUCAGGAUAGUCCAAGGACACUACACUGGCUAGAGAAGAGGGGUAGAGCAGAUUCCUAAGGCUAAGAAUCAAAGGUAAGAUAGAACAGUUUACUUCGGGCUACUGGAUUCUUCCUGGAUAGAACCUGGUCGCUCCAGUAAUAUGGCACUGCGCUAUACCCGGACGGGGAGGACUACGGAGGGUGAACAGGGCUGUCACCACCUGCUACCUACCUCAACUACUCGUGGGAUAUACCACAACGAAAGGUAAAGUCUAGUUUAGACACCACGUCUAUACCAUCUUUUACUAGCUCUAGCCUUGGCCAAGAACAUCCGUCUCUAUUAGGAGUCUUUGACCAGAGCAUCCACUAAACUAGUAAACGAUGAUCGUGUAAGCAACUAAGAAACUAGAACUAUUACUUAACUAAGAAACUAGAGCACAAAGAAAAUCACGAACACUUUGAUACAUAAGCAUCCAUCGAGAUACAAGUUGGAGAAGAGUGCCGACAAACCCGGCACUUUCCCGACUCCCCUCACUCUCCCUAUUUUCUAAUACCACUGAGGCAGCGCUACACCUGUAGAAGGAGCCUAGAGCUCGUAUAUGAGAGUGAGAGAGCAAGAGAGCAAUGUGAAUAUGUGUUCUAAGUCUACCCCCCUCUGGUAUUUACAGGGGUGGUUAAGUCGGUUUGCAGCAGGUUUGGCAAGUGAAUCAUGCAGAACCAACUUGGAGAAGCAUUGAGGAGUCGCUACGUGGAAGGCGGUGGCUAGUGGGCCCACCCCUAGUUUGGCCAAACUAGGGAUUCGGCCGACCUAAGGCCACCACCUUAGGCCACCGUCUUCCAAGUAGGUCCCACUCGCAUGCAUGCGUGCAUGGCACUUUUCCUUGGGGGUUUAGGCUAUCAUUUGGGUCCUUCAAUCCUCAUGCUUGCUUGUGAUUGGUUAGGAGUUUAUCACUUAGAUUAUACAUGCUCUUUUCAUGCAUUUUCAGUUCAGAUUCGCCAGCACCUGUGGAAUUCGUUAGAUAUACGCCUUAUUCUAGUGUUGGCCUGUGCUUUUUAUUCCAUUUUUAUGCAGGAUUUGAUGAUCAAAAUUGGUCUGUAACGAGUGUCAACAAGAUCCUCUUAGUCCUUUGCUCGUCCUCGAGUGAAGGCAUAGAACUAAGGCGGACACGACUGCCUUGUCAAGAUUCCAGCAUAAACGUUAUUCUACACCUUACGUUCACUUGUGAUUUGAAGUGUCUAUCAUGAUAUUGCAGGCGGCUGAAAGACUGAACGGUGUUGAUCCAAGCUCCUUCCCUUCCCAGCUGCUAGAUUGGGGUUUUGAAGAAGAUUUUGAAAAGAAAUCAUCCAUGGUCUUAUCCCCUUCAAAUAUCUCUCGAUCGCUCAUGUGUAUGUAUCUCACCAAAGCUUCACCUUUCCCUCCCUAUCUGUAUGUAUAUGGCCGAAAUGGAGCUUGGUAGGGAGUAUGUGAAUGUGUACUUGUGGUACAUCUAUUGCAAAACCAAAGAUUGGAUCCAUAGAGAUAAUACAUCUUUACGAGCUGAUCAAGAUUGUGCGCGUGUGAUGAAUAGUGGAUGUGGACUCCUUUUGUAUGAUCUCUCUUCCUUUGUAAAUUCUUUUUGAGAGCAUGGCUAUCACUUUUUUCAAUACUUGGAUCUUCAUA